rnacentral:rRNA from 1 species
UGCAAGUCGAGCGCGAAAUGGCCUUCGGGCCGCGAGUAGAGCGGCGAACGGGUGAGUAACACGUGGGUAACCUGCCUUGGAGAGGGGAAUAACUUGGGGAAACCCGAGCUAAUGCCGCAUGAGUUCGCCGGACCUUCGGUGCCGGCGAGGAAAGGUGGCCUAUUCUUGAAAGCUGCCGCUCCAAGAGGGGCCCGCGUCCGAUUAGCUAGUUGGUGGGGUAACGGCUCACCAGGGCGACGAUCGGUAGCCGGCCUGAGAGGGUGAUCGGCCACACUGGAACUGAGACACGGUCCAGACCGCUACGGUGGGCAGCAGUACGGGAUAUUGCGCAGUGGGCGAAAGCCUGACGCAGCAACGCCGCGUGAAGGAUGAAAGCCUUCGGGUUGUAAACUUCUGUCAGGCGGGACGAACGAGCGGCGGUGAAUAGCCGCCGUCUCUUGACGGUACCGCCGGAGGAAGCCCCGGCUAACUCCGUGCCAGCAGCCGCGGUAAUACGGAGGGGGCAAGCGUUAUUCGGAAUUAUUGGGCGUAAAGGGCGUGUAGGCGGCUUGAUAAGCCAAAGGUGAAAUCCCUCAGCUCAACUGAGGAACUGCCUUUGGAACUGUCUCGCUAGAGGCCAGGAGAGGGUAGCGGAAUUCCCAGUGUAGCGGUGAAAUGCGUAGAUAUUGGGAGGAACACCAGUGCCGAAGGCGGCUACCUGGACUGAUACUGACGCUGAGGCGCGAAAGCGUGGGGAGCAAACAGGAUUAAUACCCUGGUAGUCCAC